rnacentral:rRNA from 1 species
CGUAGGCGGUGUUUUAAGUGAGAUGUGCAAUCCCCGAGCUUAAACUUGGGAACUGCAUCUCAGACUGGAACGCUAGAGUACUGGAGAGGGUGGUAGAAUUCCACGUGUAGCGGUGAAAUGCGUAGAGAUGUGGAGGAAUACCAGUGGCGAAGGCGGCCACCUGGACAGUAACUGACGCUGAGGCGCGAAAGUGUGGGUAGCAAACAGGAUUAGAUACCCUGGUAGUCCACGCUGUAAACGAUGAACACUUGGUGUGGCGGGAGUUGACCCCUGCCGUGCCGUAGCUAACGCGAUAAGUGUUCCGCCUGGGGAGUACGGUCGCAAGGCUGAA